GACGAACGCUGGCGGCGUGCCUAAUACAUGCAAGUAGAACGCACAGUUUAUACUUUCGCUUGCUACACGCUACGCUGUGAGUUGCGAACGAGAGUGUUACGCGUGGGUAACCUGCCUGAUAGCCGGAGAUAACUGUUGAUAACGCUAGCUACUACCGCAUGAUAUUGAUUGUUGUAUGGUAAUUACUUGAAAAAUGGUAUUGCAUCACUACUAGAUGGAUCUUCGGUGUAUUAGCUAGUAGGUGAGGUAACGGCUCAACUAGGCGAAGAUACAUAGCCGAGCUGAGGGGGUGGUUGGCCACACUGGGACUGAGACACGGCCCAGACUCCCACGGGAGGGAGCAGUAGGGAAACGUCGGCAAUGGGCGGAAGUCUGGACGAAGAACGCCGCGUGAGUGAAGAAGGUUUUCGGGUCGUAAAGGUCGGUUGUAAGGGAAGAAAGGGUGUGAGAGUGGAAAGUUCACACUGUGACGGUAUCAGACCAGAAAGCAACGGCUAACUACGUG
rnacentral:rRNA from 1 species